rnacentral:rRNA from 1 species
UGGAUCCAGACUUUGAUCAUGGCUCAGGACGAACGCUGGCGGCGUGCCUAACACAUGCAAGUCGAGCGGGGAACCGUGGAAUGAAGCUUCGGCAGAAGGAAGCGGUUUCUAGCGGCGGACGGGUGAGUAACGCGUGAGCAAUCUGCCUUUCACAGGGGGAUAACACACCGAAAGGUGUACUAAUACCGCAUGAGACCACAGGAAGGACAUCUUCUAGGGGUCAAAGGAGCAAUCCGGUGAAAGAUGAGCUCGCGUCUGAUUAGCUGGUUGGUGAGGUAACGGCCCACCAAGGCGACGAUCAGUAGCCGACCUGAGAGGGUGAUCGGCCACAUUGGAACUGAGAAACGGUCCAAACUCCUACGGGAGGCAGCAGUGGGGAAUAUUGGGCAAUGGGGGAAACCCUGACCCAGCAACGCCGCGUGAAGGAAGAAGGUUUUCGGAUCGUAAACUUCUAUCCUUGGUGAAAAUGGUGAUGGUAGCCAAGAAGGAAGCCCCGGCUAACUACGUGCCAGCAGCCGCGGUAAUACGUAGGGGGCAAGCGUUGUCCGGAAUGAUUGGGCGUAAAGGGCGCGUAGGCGGCCUUUUAAGUCUGAAGUGAAAGUCCUGCUUUUAAGGUGGGAACUGCUUUGGAUACUGGAAGGCUUGAGUGCAGGAGAGGUAAGCGGAAUUCCCGGUGUAGCGGUGAAAUGCGUAGAGAUCGGGAGGAACACCAGUGGCGAAGGCGGCUUACUGGACUGUUACUGACGCUGAGGCGCGAAAGUGUGGGGAGCAAACAGGAUUAGAUACCCUGGUAGUCCACACUGUAAACGAUGAAUGCUAGGUGUAGGGGGUAUCGACCCCUUCUGUGCCGGAGUCAACACAAUAAGCAUUCCGCCUGGGGAGUACGGCCGCAAGGUUGCAACUCAAAUGAAUUGACGGA